CAGUCGCCGCGGUAAUACGUAGGUGGCAAGCGUUGUCCGGAAUUAUUGGGCGUAAAGGGCUCGCAGGCGGUUUCUUAAGUCUGAUGUGAAAGCCCCCGGCUCAACCGGGGAGGGUCAUUGGAAACUGGGAAACUUGAGUGCAGAAGAGGAGAGUGGAAUUCCACGUGUAGCGGUGAAAUGCGUAGAGAUGUGGGGGAACACCAGUGGCGAAGGCGACUCUCUGGUCUGUAACUGACGCUGAGGAGCGAAAGCGUGGGGAGCGAACAGGAUUAGAUACCCCUGUAGUCCCUGUCUCUUAUAC
rnacentral:rRNA from 1 species